rnacentral:rRNA from 1 species
AUGCUAAAGUAUAUUCCUCACAGAGGGAGGUUUAGGUAUACAUUGUUUGGAUAUUUCUGGGAAUCGAAUGAAUGGCUACAAGCGCACAGUGCUGGCUGUUAUAUAGCCUCGACAACAGCAGUGACCGGCAACCUGCUGAAACGGUACAGGGAACGGGCGAGCGAUCCUUUCUACUUGACGCUUGACAGCCGACCAAUAACUGAACUUCUUCUGCACCUGACAAUGCCCCCUCGAGAAAAUGAACUUGUCCUCAAGGAGUCUCAAUUCUCAACGUCCUUGGCGCCAACUCUCAACUGUUUGCUUGAAGAAAGACGGAAAUGUGUAUUUGAUGAAAUCUGCAUCUUCCCACGAGGAAUCCUCCGGAGGUAG